rnacentral:rRNA from 1 species
UCGGGAAUAUUGCGCAAUGGAGGAAACUCUGACGCAGUGACGCCGCGUGCAGGAAGAAGGUUUUCGGAUUGUAAACUGCUUUAGACAGGGAAGAAGAAAGGACAGUACCUGUAGAAUAAGCUCCGGCUAACUACGUGCCAGCAGCCGCGGUAAUACGUAGGGAGCGAGCGUUAUCCGGAUUUAUUGGGUGUAAAGGGUGCGUAGACGGGAAUGUAAGUUAGUUGUGAAAUACCUCGGCUUAACUGAGGAACUGCAACUAAAACUAUAUUUCUUGAGUACUGGAGAGGAAAGUGGAAUUCCUAGUGUAGCGGUGAAAUGCGUAGAUAUUAGGAGGAACACCAGUGGCGAAGGCGACUUUCUGGACAGAAACUGACGUUGAGGCACGAAAGUGUGGGGAGCAAACA